rnacentral:rRNA from 1 species
GACGAACGCUGGCGGCAUGCCUAAUACAUGCAAGUUGAGCGCUGAAGGUUGGUACUUGUACCGACUGGAUGAGCAGCGAACGGGUGAGUAACGCGUGGGGAAUCUGCCUUUGAGCGGGGGACAACAUUUGGAAACGAAUGCUAAUACCGCAUAAAAACUUUAAACACAAGUUUUAAGUUUGAAAGAUGCAAUUGCAUCACUCAAAGAUGAUCCCGCGUUGUAUUAGCUAGUUGGUGAGGUAAAGGCUCACCAAGGCGAUGAUACAUAGCCGACCUGAGAGGGUGAUCGGCCACAUUGGGACUGAGACACGGCCCAAACGCCUACGGGAGGCAGCAGUAGGGAAUCUUCGGCAAUGGACGAAAGUCUGACCGAGCAACGCCGCGUGAGUGAAGAAGGUUUUCGGAUCGUAAAACUCUGUUGGUAGAGAAGAACGUUGGUGAGAGUGGAAAGCUCAUCAAGUGACGGUAACUACCCAGAAAGGGACGGCUAACUACGUG